UACGGAGGGUGCAAGCGUUAUCCGGAUUCACUGGGGUUAAAGGGUGCGUAGGCGGGCAGGUAAGUCAGUGGUGAAAUCUCCGAGCUUAACUCGGAAACUGCCAUUGAUACUAUUUGUCUUGAAUAUUGUGGAGGUAAGCGGAAUAUGUCAUGUAGCGGUGAAAUGCUUAGAUAUGACAUAGAACACCAAUUGCGAAGGCAGCUUACUACACAAUGAUUGACGCUGAGGCACGAAAGCGUGGGGAUCAAACAGG
rnacentral:rRNA from 1 species